AAGCAGCCAUCUUGGACCAUAGGUGAAAGCAGCAUUUUGGGGAUAGUGGAAACUCAAGAAAGAGGCAGCCAGGUUUCUGGUAGUCAUGGAGAUGUCAUACCAGCCUGAAUUGCCUGUGUUUAUUGCAUGUGAGAAAGAGGAAGACUUUUACCUUAUUUGCCUUAUUAUUACCUAAACAUUUGCCUUACUUAAGCCACUGAUAUUUGAGGAAGUCUGUCCCUUGCGACUGAAACUAAUCCUAACACAAAAGGAAACAGAGGCUCAGAGAAGCUAAGACAUUUGCACAGGACCACAGCUGGGCUGAGAAGAAAAAUUGAAUACUGAUGAGAAAGAAGAUGGAUAGAAGAGCGAGACAUGCAACUGGGACUCUAACACAAAUGCCAUUCUCCCUGGGAAGGGACUAGCCCAGUCAGCAGCCACCUCACUCCAUGAGUUGGUUCUGAGGCCCCCUCUGUGCCAGGCAGCUCGGGACACAAGGUGAAUUAGAUCCAACCUCACAGCCAUGUGAGGCAGACAGAGUGACACAGACUCUGUCACCAGAAGAGCAAGCAUUUGAACGGGCUGUCAGAUGGAGAGCCCAAGCUCUUUCUGCUCUAGGUUCCCUCCCUCUGCUGCAGUUGGGAGAGGCUGGGCUGGGAAGCCCACAUGAGCUGUUGCAGCUCCCUGCAAGGGACUCUCACCUCCUCUCUCAGGCCUCCUCUCCUUGGGCUCCUGGCCUGGCCCUUCACACCUUUCUCCAACUCCAUCAUGACUGCAGACUUUGGCCUUCCCUCAGGAAAAGAACGAAUUUUUCUCCACAAAAUUCUACAAUCUCUUCCAGCCUCUCCUUUUAGCUACUGUCAUAUCCAUUCACCUAAGUGAUAACAGAAGACCACAAGUCAGAUGACUCAUAUAUUCACCUAUUCAAUAAACACUCCAGAGCAUUCCUCUGGCCUAGGACUGAUGAGUCUCACAAUCUUCUAAGCAAAAAAUAGAACAAAAAACAAAAAAACCUGCCAGAC